rnacentral:rRNA from 1 species
CCUACGGGAGGCAGCAGUGAGGAAUAUUGGUCAAUGGGCGCGAGCCUGAACCAGCCAAGUCGCGUGAGGGAAGACGGUCCUAUGGAUUGUAAACCUCUUUUGUCGGGGAGCAAAAGACGCCACGCGUGGCGUUCCGAGAGUACCCGAAGAAAAAGCAACGGCUAACUCCGUGCCAGCAGCCGCGGUAAGAGGGAGGAUGAGAGCGGUAUCCGGAUUUAUUGGGUUUAAAGGGUGCGCAGGCGGAAGAUCAAGUCAGCGGUAAAAUUGAGAGGCUCAACCUCUUCGAGCCGUUGAAACUGGUUGUCUUGAGUGAGCGAGAAGUAUGCGGAAUGCGUGGUGUAGCGGUGAAAUGCAUAGAUAUCACGCAGAACUCCGAUUGCGAAGGCAGCAUACCGGCGCUCAACUGACGCUCAUGCACGAAAGUGUGGGUAUCGAACAGGAUUAGAUACCCUUGUAGUC